CAGUCGCCGCGGGAAUACGGAGGGUGCAAGCGUUAUCCGGAUUUAUUGGGUUUAAAGGGUCCGUAGGCGGAUCUGUAAGUCAGUGGUGAAAUCUCACAGCUUAACUGUGAAACUGCCAUUGAUACUGCAGGUCUUGAGUAAAUUUGAAGUGGCUGGAAUAAGUAGUGUAGCGGUGAAAUGCAUAGAUAUUACUUAGAACACCAAUUGCGAAGGCAGGUCACUAAGAUUUAACUGACGCUGAUGGACGAAAGCGUGGGGAGCGAACAGGAUUAGAGACCCCGGUAGUCCCUGUCUCUUAUAC
rnacentral:rRNA from 1 species